GCUGUUGUUCAUCUCUAAAGGCUCGUUUGUUCGUUUGUAUGUGAAGCUUGAGUUUGUCUAACAUUUUGUUCUUCUUCAGCUUUCAGAGUCGGCGUGCUUUGAUUAUUUUCCCCUUUUUUCCUGGUCUUGGCUACAUCCGCUUCUGUCCGCUCCAGCUAAGUGGCGCAUGCAAAUGCGUUAGCACCGCCAUUGUCAACGAGCCACAAAGUCCCACCCGCUUAUCUUCGUCACGAUCGAUACUUCUUUUCGGUAUUCAACGCGUAUACUAUUCUCGCGGCGCAGCUUCGUUGGUGGAGAAAGAUUGGAUUGGACGCGAGCCGCGAGAAAAGUGGGGAAGAACGUAGGCUGCCGACACUCCGCUGUUUCACGUAGAACCACUGCCAGAGUCGUCUCCAGGAACCUCGCCCCAGAAGUUUCGUGAGCGGAGAGCUCAAUUCAAAGACUACUACAGGUAUACAGUCCCGCGACUGUAGAUAAAAGCGCUGCUUCAGCUGGCCUUUGGAAUGGAUCCAAGGGUCAACCACGUUUCGUUUUCAGGGGCCAGGGGGCGUAUGAACAACGAAGAAAACGCGUCCGGCAUAACACCAGUGGUGUUGCUUGGGCGGAGAGAAUUUUCUAAUGGCGGCGUGGUUUCCCAGCUCCAGUUGGAUUUGCUUCGUGGCGAGCGGCGGUGGGACAACACGACACGGUCCUCUUCGUCGUUGAAAAGGGAAGGAAGCUGCCAUUAAACGAGGAGAAAGAAAGAAGAGAAGCAAAGAACUUGUGGUCCGCGCGUUGAAAGUUUGCGAAUGGUGGACGAGACGACUGAGACUGGCGACUUGAGAGACAAUUCACGAAGAUAUAAAAAUUUAAAAUAAAAAGAAACAACUAAAAGAGGAAGAAA